rnacentral:rRNA from 1 species
CGGAUAGGCAAUUUUUCCUGUAAUGGUUCUUUGUUUAAAUGUUUUUUCGCCUAAGGAUGGGUCUGCGGCCGAUUAGGUAGUUGGUUAGGUAAUGGCUUACCAAGCCGUUGAUCGGUACGGGUUGUGAGAGCAAGAGCCCGGAGAUGGAACCUGAGACAAGGUUCCAGGCCCUACGGGGCGCAGCAGGCGCGAAACCUCCACAAUGUGAGAAAUCGCGAUGGGGGGAUCCCAAGUGCCAUUCUUAACGGGAUGGCUUUUCAUUAGUGUAAAGAGCUUUUGGAAUAAGAGCUGGGCAAGACCGGUGCCAGCCGCCGCGGUAACACGGGCAGCUCUAGUGGUAGCAAUUUUUAUUGGGCCUAAAGCGUCCGUAGCCGGUUUAAUAAGUCUCUGGUGAAAUCCUGUAGCUUAACUGUGGGAAUUGCUGGAGAUACUAUUAGACUUGAGACCGGGAGAGGUUGGAGGUACUCCAGGGUAGAGGUGAAAUUCUGUAAUCCUGGGAGGACCGCCUGUUGCGAAGGCGUCUAACUGGAACGGUUCUGACGGUGAGGGACGAAAGUUAGGGGCGCGAACCGGAUUAGAUACCCGGGUAGUCCUAACUGUAAACGAUGCGGACUUGGUGUUGGGGUGGCUUUGAGCUGUCCCAGUGCCGAAGGGAAGCUGUUAAGUCCGCCGCCUGGGAAGUACGGUCGCAAGACUGAAACUUAA